ACGCUCGUUUUGGCAGCACAUGUACUAAAAUUAGAACGAUACAGAGAUUAGCAUGGCCCUGCACAACGAUGACACCCAAAUUUGUGAAGCGCUCCACAGUAAAAUUUUUUU
ensembl:snRNA RNU6-344P RNA, U6 small nuclear 344, pseudogene